rnacentral:lncRNA from 1 species
AAUCUUAGCUGGAACUCUAAUGAUCAUUUAGAAUUCAUUGACCAGAUUGUUAUUAGGAAAACUCAUCAUUAACAAGGACGUCAUAUUAUAAUUCAGUAUUUUAAGCUUUGUCUAUUUCCUCUACUUCAGGUUUCUAGCUAUUAUCAAACUGUUCCUGCCUUAAUGAUCCUAUCCUUAUCUUCUCUAUUAACCCUUUUCUCCCAACAUACAGAAAUUUAACUUAGUUCUCCUGGUAAAAACUUGUUUUAUGACUGAGAAGCCAUAUAGCACAAAAGCUGUCAUAUACUCUCUAAAAGAAGGCUGAAUUAAGAAUUUAGCAGGUACCGCUGAGACUCAAACAUUUCUCUUGUUACCACUAUGUUCUGGCUGUAUCUUUCUUUUCUAGUAAAAAAAAAAAAAAUCACUUUAUAUGGAAGGUGAUAUAUGAAGAUUCCUUUAGGGACUUUUUUUAACCUCAGAAACCAAAUCUGUUUUAUAAUGCUAGGUCACUGAAUAUAAUUAAUCCAAAAAAUUUUUCAAAUGGCCUGUUUCGGUAUAAACAGCUCUAAUACAUCUUGGAAUAACUGCUCUUUUGUAACCCAGUUUGUCCUGAAUACUUGUUAAACAGCUGCUGAGUUCUGAAUUCUGCUGUUGUUCAUCAAUAACUUUUCGCCCUCUUUGGUAUUCUUCCAGUUAUUUCUACUUCCACUGUUCAUUGGUUGAAAUGGUCAUCAAAAUAUAAUAAGUUGAUACAAGAGUCUCAGAUAUUAUUUUAGAAGAAGCUUAUUUCUUUUCAUGAAAGAUGCAUCUGUAUUUGACAUUGUAAAACAAUAAAUUCAGGAAAAACCCAACUGGGACCUCUAACAUACUCUUCUACAAUAUAUGAAUUUUACACCAAGUAAGACUCUAAUAUUCUCCCAUUCAAGUGGAAGCCAAAUACCCAUAGGAAAUGAGAUACUAAACUAUUAAUAGCUUAUCCAGGCUUUCUCUGCCUACUGUGGAACCUUAGACUUCAUCACAGUCUAAGCACUGUAAAACAGUGUAAUUUAUGUUCAUAUAAUGAAACUCUCUAGAUGUUCUUCACCUAGUCUACUACUCAAUGUUUCUGAUGUUUUUAAGACAGAAAACUUCUUCACAUUCAACCUGAGAAAAAGACGAUGUUAAACUCAACUUAAAAAUCAAAAAAAAAAAAUAUAUUAUCAUAAGCACUGUCAUAAGGUUUGUAAUGUUUUAAACUGUUUUGGCAGAAAACUGAAUAGUAUGGUAAGUAAAAUUACUGUUUGUUUGUUUUUUUUUUUUAAUUUCAGGAUGUGCAUGCUGACGCUGUCUUUACUGCUGUCUUGAGAUACUUUCUUUCAUUCCCUCAUCCAGUUCUGGUAUAUUUGGAUCUUUUAGAACUCUGGUAGCUGCCCUUGCAAUUGCCAUUUCCCUAUGCUCACUCUUGAAGAAAUGGUUCUAUAAUGCUGUAUUUCUUUGUCAACAGAUAACUGGCAUAAUUGGUUAGCCCUGGCCAUCUGCUCCUAUUUUGUACAAGGAUGUUAAUCGAUCAUCAAAUGUCCAUAAAAUAGCUUAUCAGACACAACUUAGAAUAGAUUUACAAGGAGAUCCUGCUGAAUAGCAUUGAGAACUAUGUCUAGAUACUCAUGUUGCAACAGAAGAAAGGGUGGGGGAAAAAAUAUAAUUGUAAUGUAUACAUGUAAGGAUAACCUGACCCCCUUGCUGUACAGUGGGAAAAAAAAAAGCCACCACUACCUCUAAUUUGGAUUAUUGAGAUCACUUCCCAAAACAGUCUUUUUUAUUCUUGCCACUACUGACUACUCUUAACACAGCAGCUGAUGUGACUGUGUUAAUACAAAAGUUAAAUCAUAUAUCAAAACCUUUUCUUCUCCAAUUCCCCUAAGAGCUUUCUUUUUUUAAAGGGUUAAAAACUAAAGCACUUCCAAUAGCCUAGAAAUCCUCAUAGGGUUUGGCUCGUCUCUAUUUUUCUGGCUUCAUUUUCUACUAUUCUUGUUUCUUUUACUCACUGGGCUCUAGCCAUGCGGGCCUCCUUGUUGUUCUUUAAGCAUAGAAAUCAUGCCCCUACUUAAAAAAAAAAAAAUUUCCGGCUACUCCACCUCCCUGGAAUAUUUUUUCCCAAGAUAUCAGUGUAUCUGGUUGACUCCCUCCCUUCCUGAUUCUGCUAUAAUGUGACUUUAUUAGAAAGAUCUUCUUUGUUUACUCUAUACAAAAUGGUAAACACCACAAUUCCCCAAGCCAGGCACUCCUUUCCCCUAUUACGCCAUAUCAUUACCUGACAUUCUACACACAUACAUAAAUCGCAUAUUUAGCAAAGGGACUUUCUCUUGUUCACUGCUGUAUAACCAGUGCCAACAAGGGUGCCUGGAACACAAUAAAUAUUUUUGAAUGAUGAACUGGAUUAAGUUCGAAUCCAUCCCAUAUCAGCUGUCUGACUUUGAAAAAAAUACUUAGCCCCUCCAUGGCUCAGUUUACUGACUGUAAAUUCGAAAGCGUAAAAAUAAUUAAUAAUAUCAGCACUAUUUAGCUGUUGUGAGAAAAAAAAACAGUUAACACAUAUAACAUGCUUAGAAUAGUGCCUAGCACAGGAUAAGUGUUACGCUAAGUUUUAGCUAUUGCUAAUUUUCAUAAGCCUAUAUAAAGUCUACUCUACACAGCUGUAGUCUCUACUGAGUGCAGGGAUAGAACUGAACCACAAGCUAACUCAACGGUCUCCUUUUCUUUUUUUCAGCCUUACAUUUUUGUGUAUGUUUAUUUUAAAAACUCAGUUGUAACCAUAAUAAGCAAAAACUCGUAUGUUAUGAAUUAAAGACAACAACAAAUUUUCCAAGCACAAAGAAACUAUAAUCCAAGUAACCAUGAACUGACUUUUUUUCAGUUUUAAUUUAUUUUUAUCCCGGAUACUUCUAAAAAUUUUAAGAUAGACUCUUGAUUCUUUCACUCCUUCCACCUAUUAUUGUAUCUCCUACAUGCUAGGCACUAUGCAAUGCUUGGAAAGCCAAGAUAUCCCUCCAUCCUAAAGAGCUUCAAGUCUAGGAGUGAACUGUAAAUGUAGAAAACAAGUAAAAUAUCAAUUGUGAUGGGUAUUAUGCUAGAAUCAUGCUCAGUGGACACAAGAUCGCCAUUCAUUCUGGACUCAGGAAAGGUUCAUCAAGGAGGAAGCAGGGUACCAGUGAGUUGAGUACUGCUAAAGACAAAUGUGAUUCACUAAGGCAAUAGCAAAGGGAAUGGAGGGGAGAGGGGAGUGAUACAAGAAGUCUUAAAGAGACAGAAUAAAUAAGAUUCUUCAUUAAGUGAGUGUGUUGAAAAAGAAAAAAAAAAGAAAAAGAAAAAAGAAACCCAGCUUAGCACCCAUGUGUCUGACUUGGGCAGAUGAUGAGGCCAUUCCCAAGACAGGUAUCAGAACAGAAAGUGAUCUGGGAUAAAAGAUGAUGGAUUGACACUUUUAUUAGGUUGAACUUUAUAUGUCUGUGAGAUAUUAAGGUAUGUGAGAUAUGUAGGUAGAUAAUGAGAUACUCUGGUAGAAAGCUCUAAAAAAGUUCUGGAUUAUAAAUAUAAAUUUCCAAGUCUCUGGAUUAUAGUCAUAGACAUACUGAAAACAAAAAUAUAUUACAUAGUAUAUGCGGAAGAAACAGAAUAAAACUAUGUUAAAUCUCAUUUGAGUAAAUAUACAGCUUCAGAAUUCUGAAAACAAUUUAUUAUGAGAAUAUUUUAUAAGAAUACACAGUGAUCAAGAAUAAAAAAUGAUACCUAGGAGACAACACAGAAUGCAAAGAAUACAAAUAAACCUUUCAACACAAAGACCUUUGGAAAAAGCCAUCACUAGAGUUCUUAUGAUGUGGUCCACUACAAUAACCAAAAUAAAAAACAAAAAACAGUGUGGCUAACUUAUUGAACGUGUAGGUAACAUAUUCACUGCACCCCAUCACUCAUGUAUCUGGUACCUGUGUCCACCUGUAUAAAGUUAACUAAUGAUGGAGAUAAUUCAUGCAAUAAGGCUAAAAGGCAUCUUUCAAAAAGCACAAGUUUUAGGAGUAAGAUAAGAAUUUGAAUCCUGGCCUUGAUGCUCAUUAGCUGUGUGACUUGAAUCCCUAGUACUGAGAGCUAUGUCUAGUUAUAAGGGCUCAAUAAAUAUUUCUUGAAUGAGUUAAAUGAGUGACUUAAGAUUUUGCUGGAUAUUGGUUUCCUUAAACAUAGAGUGGACCAAAUAACUCACGAGACCCCAAAUUCCUUAAUUUUAUAGUAAGGUAUAAUAACAUAUAUAAAGCCUUGAAAAGUAUCAGGCCAAUUAAUUAAUAAAUUGUACUUCUCUUACUUUCUGUUUCCUUGACUUUUCUUAAUGGUUUAAAGAUUGAACCUGGAAAAACAGCUAGAAAUUCUUUAAGAAAUAAAUAUAUUGCUAAAUGGAAUAAGUAUGAGUUUAAGUUUGCUAAAGAUAAGGUUUUUAUUUUGUUCACUACUUUAUAUCUAGUACAAAGAGUCAAUAAAUAUUUGUUAAAUCUGUUGAUUAAAAGAUGCUUUGAAGGUAAUUCUCAUUUAAAUUGGUAAUUUAGCCUGACUGGAAAAAAAACAAACAAACAAACAAAAAAAAAACAGCUUAAGUUUAACUUUUAGGAUAUACUUUGUAGUCAGUGGAAGCAACUUUGGCCUCCACUGUCUACUCUCUCAAAUCCAUCACGUCACUGUACCUGUGUAGAUAUGUUCAAUGAAUCUUCAAACCUUUUUAAUGCCAGAGGGCAGUCACUUUUAUAUUCUGUCUGUGAAUAGCUCAUAUUUGUGUUCUUGACUCAUUCUUACUAUUUCUUCUACAAUAACCCUUUAGCAGAGUUUUAUCCCCAAUGUGUUUCAGAAAAUGAAAUACUUCCACAGUAAGAAAAAAAAUAACUUCAGAAUGUCCAACUCUUUUUUCCUGUGUCCUUUUUAAUAGAAUACAUUCUAUAUGAAAAGGGAAAAUCUUUCGGUUACAAAGCUCAUGUGGCAUCCUCAGUAUUGUAAAUAACAUUCACUUUUAUUUGUGAGAUGAAUUAUUUUGAAAAAGCAGUGGGGAAACUAAAAUGCCAACUAAAUGAACCACCGAGAGACAAUAGUCAUGUUUUAAGUGUCAAAAAAAAAAGCUAUGAUUUAACAUUAUUGUCCCUCUAUUUGUUUUACAUAAUAUUGGCUACCGGAUAUGUUUGGUUGAAUGUAGAGAUAUUCACAGCUUCUUCAAUUCUAAAAGUAAAUUACAUGAAAGUGUGUGAGGCUUUAGAGGAUAGGAAGAAAAUAUCCACAUAUUUCACAUAUGCUGAAACUGGGGACUCUUCCGUGGAAAAUUGCUUAUGUAUUUCCUGCAUUCACCUUCUAUUUUUUCAUUCUUUUUAUAAAUAGGUAUGAAUACAGUAUGCAUAUAUUCAUGCAUUUACUGUCCAAAUACUUGAGCAUAAAUUAUGAUCAAGGCACUGUGGAAUCCACUUUGCAGAGUGAAAAGAAAACAUGAUGGCCAUGUUAAUGUCAGAGUCGAACUAAAGGCAAGGAAACUUAAACUGGACCAAGAAGAUGAAAAACAGCUACAUUCCAUAAUGAAAAAUAAUGGCCAUGAACCUUUAUUAAAGGAAUAAAAUUGAAUAUAUGCAUGAGGAAAACACUGUCAAAAAUGCAAAAACUGACAGAAACACAUUUUUUUGGCCUUUUUUUUUUUUUUAAGGGCCACACCCAUGGAAUAUGGAGGUUCCCAGCUCGAGGUCAAAUCAGCGCUACAGCUGCCGUCCUACACCACACAGGGGUAGCCACAGCAAAACAGGAUCCAAGCCAUGUCUGUGACCUAUACAACAGCUGACAGCAAUGCUGGAUCCUUAAGCCAAUGAGCGAGGCUAGGGAGCGAACCUUCAACCUCAUGGUUCCUAGUUGGAUUCGUUUCCGCUGAGCCGUGACGGGAACUCCAGAAACACAUUUUUAGGAAGAUUUUUAAGAUGACUCUCUAUGAGUACUUAUAUAUCAACUGUAUUAGCAUGAAUAAAAAUAUUUAAUAAAUGGAAAUAAGAUAAAAAGGUAUAACAAAGUUAAAUUUAUGUGUAUACACAUGAUAUGUAUCAAAAGUCCUAUCCUUUAUAGAAUAUAAUACACUGACUAGAAUUCAUACUUUUAUAAUAUGAACCAUAUCCUAGGACACUAAGAAAGUUUUAACAAGUUUCAAAAACUAGGUUGCAUGGGCCAAAUAUAUAUUUACCCCAUAGUGGGAAAAACUAAAACAUCAAGAUCACGCCAAACAGUUGAAAAGCAUAUUUUUUCAUAAAUAAUUUUGGGGUAAAAGGAAAUCAGAACUGUUCAGCCAAGAGAAACCUAAGAGAUAUGAUAACUAAAUUUAAUGUGUUAUUCUGGAUGUGGUUUCCAGAAAAAUAACGUUAGGCAAAAACAAAGGAAAUAUGUGUAACAUAUGGACUUUGGCUAAUAAUAAUAUAUCAAUAUUAGUUCAUUUAAUGUGACCAAUAUACCAUAAUAAUAUCAUACAUUAAUAGCAGGGAAAAUUGUGUGUAUGUGGCAGAGAAGCAUAUAGAGAAAUGAUCUGUACCAUAUCUUAAUUUUUCUAUAGACUUAAAACAAGAAGUUUAUUUCAAAAAGGAAAUCUGGUGAGUUAGAACAUAAUGGAAACAAAAAUGUUGUGCAUGGAUCUUUCCAGAAACAUAAACUACAAAUGCUAGGUUAAAAACGUUCUAGAUUCUAAGAAAGGAUGGUGUAUGGCCUAACUUGUUAUAUGAAAAAAAAAUCUAAAUAAUAGUGAAAUUUAUCAACUACCCUUCUCUCACUACAUCCUAUAAAACAAACACAAAAGGAUCUUUAUCCCAGCUUAGCUGGUCACACUUCAUCUGGGGCUCAGUAACUCCUCCCAGCUUACUAAUCAGUUACCUUGGUCUUCUUAUGGUUGUCCAAACAUCUCAAAAGAGCUUCUCUUUAACACACACACACACACACACACACACACACAGAAAUUUUCAAGGAAAGAAGGAAUAAAUAAUGAAACAGAACAUUAUUUUUUGUAGGACCUUAGCAACACAACUUAUAAAGGGAAAGGAAAUACUACCACUACUUUUAUACAACAUAACUUUAUACUUUAAAAUCUCAAGAGAAAUCACUGACAAAAACUUAAAUAAAUAAAAGGUAAUUAAGUAGUAAUAAAAACAUAUUGUCCUAUAGCUUUUCUGAAAGCCAACAUUUGACUCAAAAACACAUGAUGCCAAAAAGGGGGUCUCAUUCUCAACAAAAAUUUCCUUACACUAAAAAUAAUAAAAUAAAAUAACUGCCACUCCAGACACUAGCCAGAGCAUAAAGAUGACCUAUGGGACAUACAGAGAUGUUCAGGUUAACUAUGUCGAUCUCUUUUCAAACCUACAUGUUCUUUGAUCUGGUUUCUGUCCUGUCCCUGAUUUGGAACUCUGCCCUUUGCUAUUAUCCCUCUCCUUUCCCUUAAACCUCACCUUCAUCUUUGUUUUCUCAGGCUCAUGGAUUAAUACUUUUGAUCUUCAGCAUAUUGGUCUGUCUCCCAGUAAGUGCUGAAUGCUUCCCUGAGUCAUGAUGAACACCUUGAGACCCAACCAUCAGUCCUAGCCACGGCCUGGCACACACCUGGCCCACCUCGUUUCUCUGAGAAUAUCAAGUCAUCACUACAGUGUGGUAUGGAUAAAUAUAAAAAGGACGGGCACAACACCCAGCCAAUACUAGAAUAUGCCUGACAAGAGUUACUAGAAUCUGAACCUGAAUGACUUUGAAAUUUCAGUACCCAAAACAGAAUUCCCUUCUGAGUUCAAAGCCUGCCAAUUUUAUGUAAGUGCUAGAUAUUCUCACCUAGGAGUCCUACCUCAAACUUGACAAGUCCAAAGCCAAUUGCAUUAAGAGCAGUCCAUUUCCACAUAUAAGCACAAGCAACCAGCCUGCGCUACCUUAAGUACAAAAGAUGAUUUAAUUACAGGAAUUCAGAGAUAGGAGUGUGACCACACAUCAAGAAGUAUGAGAGCAGAGAGCACGUUCCUUCCCUUUUUUCCUGUCUAUUUUCUUGUACAUCUGUUUUAAUUUUUUUUUUUCUAGAAAGCAACUGUCUAGCAAGGUUAUCAGAACACAAAGUGGAUUAAAGGAGACUGCCAGCUCCCAUAUUCACAUUGUAAGGGUCCCAGGUACAAGUAUAUCGACACUAGUUGUCCAUGUUUUAAAUUCUGGAACCUGACCUCAAGGCCAAUCAGAAGUGGCCAGAGGAUUAGGGUAAAAUUAUAAAUUUGACUCAAGAUUCCACCUCCAUAGGUUUUUACAGUGAAGGUAUGAAGGCAACAGGGACAAAUUAUAGAAGGGAUUGUCAGCUAAGCAGCCAUCCUAAUUGCAUAGGGUACAUAAUAUCAAACUAAAUGUUCGUAUCCUACACUAAACUACCCUUCCCAAACUAUUUCCCAAAUUUCAUUCAAAAACAUCCUCUCUUUUUUUGGUAAUCUAUCAUAGAAGUUAUUUUUCAUUUUCCCUUCCAAACAAUGAUCCAUAUAAGUGGUAAUUUUCAAGUUACCUCUUUUCACCCCCAUCCCCACUGCCUUGAUUCCAGUAUGGUGCCACUGUUUCUUCAUCUAAAUUUCUUCAAUAGUCUUCCAUUAGGUUCUCCUGCUUUCUCUGCUCCAUGACUGAAGCUUAGUGGAUCAGGAAAAAGCUAAAACAUAAUACUAGAGAGGCAGAGAGGAGCCAAAUCAUCUAUGAAUCCUUUUAAGUUGGAAUAAGGAAGUUAUGUGUUAUAUUAAGCACACAGGGAGGCCGCUGGAAGAUUUCAUGCAUGGGGGUGAUUUUUAGGUGUGGGAAAGAACGGAAUCAGGGAGAGCAGGAACGAGAUGAACAUUGGUAACUUGGAGAGGGCAGAGAGUAAUGGAGGUCAACUAAAUACGCCCUUCCCUACUUUAAGUCCUAUAUUGGUUUCCCAUUACCUACAGAAUAAGAUAAAAACUUUAACGUG